ACGACUCUCGGCAACGGAUAUCUUGGCUCUCGCAUCGAUGAAGAACGUAGCGAAAUGCGAUACUUGGUGUGAAUUGCAGAAUCCCGUGAACCAUCGAGUUUUUGAACGCAAGUUGCGCCCGAAGCCUUUGGCCAGGGCACGUCUGCCUGGGCGUCACGCAC
rnacentral:rRNA from 7 species